AUACGGAGGGUGCAAGCGUUACUCGGAAUCACUGGGCGUAAAGCGCGCGCAGGCGGCUAUUUAAGUUGGAUGUGAAAGCCUACGGCUCAACCGUAGAACUGCAUCCAAAACUACUUAGCUAGAGUGUGGGAGAGGAAGAUGGAAUUAGUUGUGUAGGGGUAAAAUCCGUAGAGAUAACUAGGAAUACCAAAAGCGAAGGCAAUCUUCUGGAACACUACUGACGCUGAGGCGCGAAAGCGUGGGGAGCAAACGGGAUUAGAAACCCUAGUAGUCC
rnacentral:rRNA from 1 species